GCCGAAAUAGCUCAGUUGGGAGAGCGUUAGACUGAAGAUCUAAAGGUCGCUGGCUCGAUCCCGGGUUUCGGCA
rnacentral:tRNA from 1 species